AAUCUGGUUGAUCCUGCCAGAGGCGACCGCUUUGGGAGUUCGAUUAAGCCAUGCGAGUCGUGAGUCUUAGGGACUCGGCAUACUGCUCAGUAACACGUGGAUAACCUGCCCUAUCGUCUGGAAUAACCUCGGGAAACUGAGAACAAGGCCGGAUAGUUCACAAUGCCUGGAACGGUUUGUGAAUCAAGGUAGGAUGGGUCUGCGGCGUAUCAGGUUGUAGGGGGUGUAAAGGACCCCCUAGCCUUCGACGCGUACGGGUGUUGGGAGACAUAGCCCGGAGAUGGAUUCUGAGACACGAAUCCAGACCCUACGGGGUGCAGCAGGCGCGAAAACUUCACACUGCAGGAAACUGUGAUGAGGGAACUCCUAGUGCAUGCACUAUGUGUAUGUAGAUCCUACUCUUAACAAGUAGAGGGAAAGGGCUGGGAAAGACCGGUGCCAGCCGCCGCGGUAAUACCGGCAGCUCAAGUGGUCGUCGCUUUUAUUGGGCCUAAAACGUCCGUAGCCUGUUUGGUAAAUCUGUGGGUAAAUCAACCAGCUUAACUGGUUGAAUUCUGC
rnacentral:rRNA from 1 species